UACGUAGGGUGCGAGCGUUGUCCGGAAUUAUUGGGCGUAAAGGGCGCGUAGGCGGCGCAACAAGUCACUUGUGAAAUCUCCGGGCUUAACCCGGAGCGGUCAAGUGAUACUGUCGUGCUAGAGUGCGGAAGGGGCUACUGGAAUUCUCGGUGUAGCGGUGAAAUGCGUAGAUAUCGAGAGGAACACCUGCGGCGAAGGCGGGUAGCUGGGCCGACACUGACGCUGAUGCGCGAAAGCCAGGGGAGCGAACGGG
rnacentral:rRNA from 1 species